rnacentral:rRNA from 1 species
UAAGUAGGGAGUGAAAGCGUUCGGCUCAACCGAAUAAACAUUUCUUAAACUGCUAAGCUAGAGAAUGAGAGAGGUCACUGGAAUUCCAAGUGUAGGAGUGAAAUCCGUAGAUAUUUGGAGGAACACCGAUGGCGUAGGCAGGUGACUGGCUCAUUUCUGACACUAAGGCACGAAAGCGUGGGUAGCAAACAGGAUUAGAUACCCUGGUAGUCCACGCCGUAAACUAUGGAUGCUA